GAUGAAGAACGUAGUGAAAUGCGAUAAGUAGUGUGAAUUGCAGAAUUCCGUGAAUCAUCGAAUCUUUGAACGCGCAUUGCGCCCUUUGGUAUUCCGAAGGGCAUGCCUGUUCGAGCGUCAUUAUCAACCCUCAAGCCCGGCUUGCCGUUGGGUCCCGUAGGGGUGCGAAUCUCAACGGACCUCAAAGAUAGUGGCAGAGCCCGUACGGACCCUGGAUGCAGCGAGCUUUCUGGCACGCAUCACAGCAAUCCGCCGGCUCGGUCUUAACCGUCAAUUUUUUUCACUGGUUGACCUCGGAUCAGGUAGGGAUACCCGCUGAACUUAAGCAUAUCAAUAAGCGGAGGA
rnacentral:misc_RNA from 1 species